GUUGCGGUGGCCGAGUGGUUAAGGCGAUGGACUUGAAAUCCAAUGGGAUCUUACCGCGCAGGUUCGAAGCCUGCCCGCAACG
rfam:Nematostella vectensis strain CH2 x CH6 NEMVEscaffold_1303_Cont35605, whole genome shotgun sequence.